GGCCUUAUGAGUUAAGGUAUCCCUGUUCUCAACACCAAACACAGUCAUCUUUUGAAGAGUUCCGAUUAUCAAGUGUAUUGCAGUCACUUGCGCUUUAGAAUCCGCAACUUCUUCUUCAUAUAGUACAAAAGCUUGUGUAAAAAAUUCAUAAGCAAUCGGUUCAAGUUCACAAUCAUUGGCUGCCUCUGCACACUGCAAGUACAACCGCAAUGCCAAUUCUGGCGAUGGAACUGAUGAAAGAGCCUCGAUAGUCUCAUUCAAUAACUUAAAAAUUUUCUUUGGUGUAGCUGGAACCUCUUCUCCCGCCACAUCUCCAUCCUGACCUUGUAAUCUCCUAACCAACUUCAGUGCAGAAAAGGAUAGAGGAGGAACUGUAAAAGUUAGGCGCUUUGGACCUCCAGCCAUUAUAUGCUUCCUAACAGUGCAUAUUAUCUUUAACAUUUCCUCAGGCUCAUCGUUGUACAGCACGUGUAUAAGCCGAGCAACAGAAUUCUGUUCCUCCUUGAAAUCCUCCUCAUCAAGC
rnacentral:misc_RNA from 1 species